rnacentral:lncRNA from 1 species
GCCGGCCACAUAAUCCCAGCAGCAAUCAACGGGAAGCCAUGCCAGAAGCCCGCGCCAAUCUCAGGAAACUCACAAAAAGAAGCAGCACACAUCCGAGCACAGAAGACCCACUCUCGGUUUAAUAAAACAAAAUCCUGCGGCGAUAAUUUACAACACGAUUGUGCUUGGCAAAUUGCUUUGAUUUAAGCGUGCCAACGUGCCAGGACUCCUCACACAGUCCUCGCACACGGCGGGCACAUUCCGCUCUCCAAAAAAAGGGAAUAAAAACAAGCAGUCAACAUUGGAAGAGAAAGAACCAGCAAGAAUGGUAUAGAGGAGCAUACGACUGAAGUAUACCCAGGGAUUCAAUUUAAUUGGGUACAAAAAAAGCCAACAGCAAUUUAAAAUUUAAGAGCUAUUAAUCCUUAUUUUAUUCUACGUGAUUCUACUUGAUUUUGUGUAUCUUUCUUUACUUCAAUCGGUAUAAAAAAAACAAUACGCCCUUAUGCUCUGUGAGUACCUGGCAUCAGCAGCAGCAGCCACAAGAUGCUCCUCCUUCACACAGACAGACAUCUUUACACUUGACUGGCGGUAGAAGGACGAAGGCAAACCAAUUCAACAUCCGUUUGCCGCUAAUUCACACGCACACACAUGCUGGAGCAGCAGCAGCAGCAGCAGGCAGUAUCCUGGCAGUAAGGAUAUAUGAAAUACGCGCAAAUAACGUGUUAGGAAAAUUGUGUGAAAAUUGUUAUAUAUAUUAUAUCCGCACGCUGAAGCGCUUGAUAUGAUUUCUUAUGCUCCAUUCACCGCUGCAAAAGGUGUUGAGCAGUACCCGCUUACGCUUGCUUGGCGCUCAAGUUCGGGUGGGAGGUAGUGGGACUCUGGGGAUGUGAAUAGAUGGGAAGGUGGCACACAGGGGAUGGAUGCCUGAGUGCGCAGGGGCUGGUAGUUUUCCUUAGAGCUUCAACCCAUUCAAAUGAACAUGUUUGGACAACGAUUUGUAAGUUGGUUUGAGAUUUGAAGCAAUGAAGAGAGGUAAAUGAAAAUAAAUAUCGGUGUAGAACGGCAAGAAAUAUAAUUAAACGAUAAAAACUACUCUGUUUAUCAGUAUAUCUUUUUAAGAUCUCAAGACCUCUAAACAUAAUGUACUUACCAGAUAAAUGUGCCAGAUAAAAGUAAUUAAAAAUAUAUUUAUAUUUAUUCAAAAAUCUCUCUAUCAGAUUUAAUCACAUCGACAGCAAUUGUAUAUCUAAAGAGACCAUUAAUACCAGAUGUUCAUGCAACUUUUGGCUUACUGACAAGUAGAAACAUAAAUUAAAAAUAACUGCGAGAGAAACUACUACUUGAAAAGUGCAUAUCCCCCAACUCAAAC